rnacentral:lncRNA from 1 species
CCUAACAACUGAGGAAUCUUAGGUCAAAGUUCAAGGUCAUUCUCGGCGGACCCUUUGGAUUCUCGUAAAAAUUGGUACAACUAUAGUCCAUGAAGAGCUGAUUUCAAAAAUAUCAGUUUCUUACUUUGGCAAGCAGCACGAACUGAUAUAUAGUAGGUCAAAGGUCAGAAUCAAGGUCACGUAUGUGUAAUACAGGAAGUGGAAGUGACCACGUGGUCAGGAUGCCGGCGGCGGCGACGACAGUGCGCCGGCGCACAUCUCUAUGGAGGUGGACACGGCGACCCGUGGGCGACCGCCGCUGCCGCGGUUUGCUACAGGUGGCGAUGGCCACUAAUCUGUUGGAGGAGGCGCCCCCGGCACAGGUCCCAACCGCCGGAGACGCGGCAGAGACCGGGCAGUGGGCUGGCUUCCAGUCGCGAUACAACGCGGUCGUGACAGCGUCUCAGUGCACAGGAGCCGCGGCUGUGAACGAUUGUUGAGAGACGGCGCGGGGCACCGAUAGAAGCUUGUCUGCUAGAGAUCAAAUCCUGUCUGCUGGUGGUAUAUAAUGCCGCGUAGGCGCUAAUGCCGCACUUCUCGCUCUCGAUCACCUCCAGCAGUCGCGCGGCGUACCUACGCUCGCUGCUCCUCGAGUAGAUGGGGCGGCAGCGGCGCGGGCGGAGCCUGUGGAGGUGGUGGCGAGGGCGACACAACUCUGAAGCUUUGGAAAAAAGCUGAUAAUACAUACUAUAUAAUAAUAAUACAUACUAUAUAAAAAAAUGCUGAUAAUGCAUACUACAUACUAAAGCUGAUAAUACAAUAUAUACGAGCGGAAGCGGCGCGCGCACAGCGCCAGCACCGUGUCGAGAUCCUCCGGCGGCCUGCGCUCGUCGCUGAGCGUAUGUAGACUACUUGUGUCUUGUAGACAGUAGAGCUCGUCUUGACGGCGAAAUGUCAUUGUCCAAUUUUUCACUGUCCGGCGACCGCGGGAUGACAUUAACACUGUAUGUCACGCCGUGCACAUUA